rnacentral:lncRNA from 1 species
AUUUAAUAAUUUUUGAACUUAUUCAUGAUUUCCUCCAUAAAUAUUACCUGUCUCUGAUACUGAUUCAUUCUGGAACAGGAUAGUUAUCAUAGAUGUAGGGGAUCCAAUUGGCAUUUUAUGUCUUUAUUCUUUGAACUAUCUUGCCAAGAUGGGGACUCUAGAUGUGACUAAACUGGUACAUGAGCAGCGAGGGUGGCUCAUCAUCACAUGCAUUUGGCUAAAUGCUGGCGUUUUGACUUGAGGAUUUUGUAUUUAGCAUGAAGCAAACCAGCUAUAGCCUGACAUCAGUUAUUAAAACUAUCACAUAGUUUGGUCAAAACCAAACAUGUAAAAAGUUGUGGAUCUGGUAAACGUUCAUAUAAAUAUUAAUGCACACAUUCUUGCAUCCAUGAUACUGCAUUUAUCCAGUUGCAUUCCCAUGAAGAUUACCAGGGUAUGUUGCAAAUAAUGUUUACUAGAAGUUUCCUUUGAACUUGUUUGGAUAUAUAGGAUAUUUGUAAGGCAUACUUAAUUUCAAAAUUACACCAUCUUUAUGAAACUCAGAGUGAGCUCAGGUUUCACAUCUCAGCCAGAUCUAGUGCUGGACAACCAAGCUUUUAUGGUUUCCCUAGUUUGAAAUCCAUGUAAAUUAAUCGAUAUAAUUCUUGUCAUACUUUGACAUUGAGAAUGUUUGUUCUAAGCCUGCAGUCAAAAGGUAGACGAUUAUCACCAGAAGAGCAGUUGGCCUUGCAGAUGGCAAUUAAGGACACAAUUCUUUUGGUGCUAUGCUAUUUUAUUUAGCCCAUUACUUGCAUUAAUUCUGGAUCCUCUUUGCAAAUGUCGAAUAAGGAUGUGGAAGUUCAAUCCUGAUUCAUAGCAUUAAGUUAAUUUGGUUGUGGUUAUUGUAGUUUUGCCCUUUCCCUCAAGCAGCCAUCAACAUGGAUUAUUUUCCUCACUUUUUUUCUUUUUUUUGGGAUAAACCAGGAAAACUUACAUGGUCCUUGGGAAAACACAUCCCAGAGCAUCAGUUAGAGCUAGUUCACAAAGAGCCAGAGGAAGGUCAGUACAAGAGAAAGAAAUGUUACCAUGAUCAGCUACAUAGUUAACAGUCCAGUCAGCCGCUUGAUUGCCCUUGUGGUAGGUGUGUGAGAUGUGGAAUGAUUCAAGGUCCUGAGUGACUAGCAGAAUAUCCAGCAACAAGAGAUGAUUUCUAGAUGUAAGAGAUGGCAAGUGGUUGAUCCAGACUGGCCCUCAAGCCAUAUAUGAAAUGCCCUCAGAAUUUUGACUGUGCAGCAGACACCUUCCCAUUUAGCAGACAGGUCCAUCAUGGCUACAUUUCUACUCCGUUGGAAGCUGCCACUGGCUGCUACAGUGGCUCCCAUGUGAUCGUGGAUAAUGUGUCCAGCACCACAGCGGGUCUACCUCCCUCAUUGAUGGACCUGCCGAAAACAUCAACAUUAUAACCUGAAAAUUUUUUGAACCAUGGAAGACAUGCUGUAGGUACAAACUUUUUUAUACCUAAAUAUCUAGAAAAAUUACAGCUCCAAAACCAUGGCUGUAAUGGGCUUGUAACAUUUGAUGUCUCAGUUAUCACGAGUCUAUGAAAUAUCUGGACCUCCAAAGAACCUUAAAAUAUGCUGUGGAAGCUCAUGUCCACAACACUGUAAAUCUGAAAUGGAAGCACUGUACCAUAUUUCUUGAUCUAUACAUGAGGUCACUGUGGUGAGCAGAACCUGGACUUGAAAACAAGAAUGAUUGGAAAGGUAAACCAUUUUACCUAAUCUCUUUUUUUUUCCCAUUCUCGUGAAAUUAGAUCAAUAAUUUAUUGUUGGACAGAAGUUUUUAGUUAGCAUAACUUUAAAAUUAUUUUCUAUUUUCAGUUUAAUUACAACUUAUGCAGAGGACAGAUUCUAAUUUAGUUCAUUCAUAUUUUGCCUUUUUAUGAUAAGAAAUUCAUAGUUUGCUUUCAAGACUACACGACUGAUAUAAAAUAUACUUGUUCAACUAGCAUGCUUUUAUGAGAGAAAUGUUCUUUCUUUUAUACAGGUGCCUGUUUUCUUUUUUCCACUCGGAGACCUUGAUAGAUCUUCUAUGUUCCUGUUAAUUUAAAUCAUUGCCAGUACAUUUUUAGCAAUUGAACUUACACAAUGAGCAUGGUCGAUGUAAUUCAUGGUGGGCAAUUCGAUAUCUUUGUCGUUGAACUCCUCUAUCUUUCAACUUGUACCACAUAAUUGCCUUAAUUCAGCAGUCUUUUUCACUAAGCAU